CCUACGGGAGGCAGCAGUGAGGAAUAUUGGGCAAUGGACGAGAGUCUGAACCAGCCAAGUAGCGUGAAGGAUGACUGCCCUAUGGGUUGUAAACUUCUUUUAUAUGGGAAUAAAAUGUUUCACGUGUGGGAUUAUGUAUGUACUAUAUGAGUAAGGAUCGGCUAACUCCGUGCCAGCAGCCGCGGUAAUACGGAGGAUCCGAGCGUUAUCCGGAUUUAUUGGGGUUAAAGGGAGAGUAGGUGGAAUGUUAAGUCAGUUGUGAAAGUUUGCGGCUCAACCGGUAAAUUGCAGUUGAAACUGGCAGUCUUGAGUACAGUAGAGGUGGGCGGAAUUCGUGGUGUAGCGGUGAAAUGCUUAGAUAUCACGAAGAACUCCGAUUGCGAAGGCAGCUCACUGGACUGCAACUGACACUGAGGCUCGAAAGUGUGGGUAUCAAACAGGAUUAGAUACCCUUGUAGUC
rnacentral:rRNA from 1 species